rnacentral:snRNA from 1 species
AGCUUUGCGCAGUGGCAGUAUCGUAGCCAAUGAGGUUUAUCCGAGGGGCGAUUAUUGCUAAUUUUUAUUUUCUUUUUUUUUUCGUUUUUAUCAAUUUCUGUUUACUUGAUCUAUCAA